CCUACGGGGUGCAGCAGUGAGGAAUAUUGGUCAAUGGACGAGAGUCUGAACCAGCCAAGUAGCGUGAAGGAUGACUGCCCUAUGGGUUGUAAACUUCUUUUAUAUGGGAAUAAAAUGUUCCACGUGUGGGAUUUUGUAUGUACCAUAUGAAUAAGGAUCGGCUAACUCCGUGCCAGCAGCCGCGGUAAUACGGAGGAUCCGAGCGUUAUCCGGAUUUAUUGGGUUUAAAGGGAGCGUAGGUGGAUUGUUAAGUCAGUUGUGAAAGUUUGCGGCUCAACCGUAAAAUUGCAGUUGAAACUGGCAGUCUUGAGUACAGUAGAGGUGGGCGGAAUUCGUGGUGUAGCGGUGAAAUGCUUAGAUAUCACGAAGAACCCCGAUUGCGAAGGCAGUUCACUGGACUGCAACUGACACUGAGGCUCGAAAGUGUGGGUAUCAAACAGGAUUAGAUACCCUUGUAGUC
rnacentral:rRNA from 1 species